AGUUCUUUGUAGGAGAGAACAUGAAUCCAGAUGGUAUGGUGGCUCUCCUGGAUUUCCGUGAGGAUGGUGUGACCCCAUAUAUGAUUUUCUUUAAGGAUGGCUUAGAAAUUGAGAAGUGUUAACAAAUCAAACUAUGGUUUUUGGAUCACCUGUCUUCAUAGCUGGCUGCUGUUUCUUCAUCGGCACACCACCAGGAAUUGGCAAUGUCUAACUGGACUGAUGUCAUCUUGAGCUUUAUUCACUUAAUUUUGACCCUGAUUUGGAGUGGAGGCAUUGUUUUAAAAAAAAAGAAAAAAACAAACAUCUGUCAUGUAGGUUGUCUAAAAUAAAACUCAUUUAAACCCAUUCUA